rnacentral:rRNA from 1 species
UACGUAGGGUGCGAGCGUUAUUCGGAAUUACUGGGCGUAAAGCGUGCGCAGGCGGUUCGCCAAGUCAGGUGUGAAAUCCCCGGGCUUAACCUGGGAAUUGCGCUUGAAACUAGCGGGCUUGAGUGUGGCAGAGGGGGGUGGAAUUCCACGUGUAGCAGUGAAAUGCGUAGAGAUGUGGAGGAACACCGAUGGCGAAGGCAGCCCCCUGGGUCAACACUGACGCUGAUGCGCGAAAGCUAGGGGAGCAAACGGG